rnacentral:lncRNA from 1 species
GUCUCCCGAAAUUUCUUUUUGCAUUGCAUAAUAUUAAAGGAUAUAACUGAAUACUGCUUUACAUUUGAGCUGUGUUAAACAGCAGUAAGACGACCGAGUAGAGAAAACGCUCCAUUAGUUCAGUGCCUUUAUAUAAUGAUCUGUAAACAAAGAUGCCAUCGGCUUAGCAGGACUGUAACCAAAGACCAAUCGUGGGUAUCGGUAC